rnacentral:rRNA from 1 species
UACGGAGGGGGCUAGCGUUGUUCGGAAUUACUGGGCGUAAAGAGCUUGUAGGCGGUCUGUCGCGUCUGCUGUGAAAAUCCGGGGCUCAACCCCGGACUUGCAGUGGGUACGGGCAGACUAGAGUGCGGUAGGGGAGACUGGAAUUCCUGGUGUAGCGGUGAAAUGCGCAGAUAUCAGGAGGAACACCGGUGGCGAAGGCGGGUCUCUGGGCCGUAACUGACGCUGAGGAGCGAAAGCGUGGGGAGCGAACAGG